AGAAUUUUAAGUUAUUCAAACUUAAAGCCUUCAAAGCUUUCAAAAAAAGUGCCAACCCUUUUAAAUUCUA
rnacentral:tRNA from 1 species